GGCCUGUUGGUCAAGCGGUUAAGACACCGCCCUUUCACGGCGGUAACACGGGUUCGAAUCCCGUACGGGUCAUCA
rnacentral:tRNA from 1 species